UACGGGGGGGGCAAGCGUUGUUCGGAAUUACUGGGCGUAAAGGCUCGUAGGCGGCCAACUAAGUCGGACGUGAAAUCCCUCGGCUUAACCGGGGAACUGCGUCCGAUACUGGAUGGCUUGAGUUCGGGAGAGGGAUGCGGAAUUCCAGGUGUAGCGGUGAAAUGCGUAGAUAUCUGGAGGAACACCGGUGGCGAAGGCGGCAUCCUGGACCGACACUGACGCUGAGGAGCGAAAGCCAGGGGAGCAAACAGG
rnacentral:rRNA from 1 species